rnacentral:rRNA from 2 species
CUGGUGUCAGCCGCCGCGGUAAUACCAGCACCCCGAGUGGUCGGGACGAUUAUUGGGCCUAAAGCAUCCGUAGCCGGCCUUACAAGUCCUCCGUUAAAUCCAGCUGCUUAACAGAUGGGCUGCGGAGGAUACUAUAAGACUAGGAGGCAGGAGAGGCAAGCGGUACUCAGUGGGUAGGGGUAAAAUCCGUUGAUCCAUUGAAGACCACCAGUGGCGAAGGCGGCUUGCCAGAAUGCGCUCGACGGUGAGGGAUGAAAGCUGGGGGAGCAAACCGGAUUAGAUACCCGGGUAGUCCCAGCUGUAAACGAUGCAGACUCGGUGGUGGACUAGCUUUAUGCUGGUCCAGUGCCGCAGGGAAGCCGUUAAGUUUGCCGCCUGGGUAGUACGGUCGCAAGACUGAAACUUAAAG